rnacentral:lncRNA from 1 species
UCAGCUAUAUGGAGUUUGGUUCUAGAGUCAAGGUACCCGAAUCAGCAGAUUCCUCAAUCUUCACCCAUUAUAAGCUCAUAUAGAUCGAGUUCGAUUUAGGGAAAUACAUUUCCUUAUGGCUGCACGGAGAUGAAAACUUCAUGAAGACAUAGGUACGGACGUAUCCUAGAAGUUAUCUGCUAUCCUGCACAGAGGUGAA